UAUAGGCCAAUUUUACCUGCUGUAAAAGAGCAGCUCCGAAGCUCUUCAAAGGGUUGGGCAACGGCAAAAUCUACCCCUUUAGAAUAAGUGUUUUAUUGUUUGUUUGGGGGUCUGGAGAGACUGGACUUCUCACGGAAAAAGAACUGGAUCACGCACAUAUUAGGCUAUUCAUUCAGGGGAAUUUUCCUAAAGUUGCUUAAUCCCCCAAAAACUUCUGGAUUUUCACCGCGCGUCUAACACGGUCGACUUUGACCGCCUGGGUCUGUCUACGUCGCGUUGCGGGAGAUCUGCGUUACAAAGAGACCUCUCUAUUUGUACAUGUUUUUUUUUUCACUUAUUUAACUAGGCAAGUCAGUUAAGAACAAGUUAUCUUUGAAUGGAUUCACUUAUGUCUGGAUAUUAAUUUCCCUGGUUAUUUGAGAACUGUCUGUGAGGAAGACAGUGAAUUUUAUUUUGUUGGUGUUUUUGAAAAAUUUAUAGCCGAUUUACAGCAGACGCGUCACCAUGUUGAGUAACGCUGGAGUCUAUGCUGUCAAAAAGCGGAAGAAGCCCGUUCAGAAAACCAAGAAAACCCCUGCUCCAGAAGUGGUCAAGUCGAACCCUUCCAAACGCCACCGGGAUCGGCUGAACGGGGAGCUGGACAGGCUGACGGGCCUUCUACCAUUCCCUGAGGAUGUGUGCUCUCGCCUGGACAAGCUCUCCGUGCUCCGCCUCAGCGUUGGGUACCUGAAGGUCAAGAGCUUCUUCAAAGCGACCAUGAAGAAAAGCAAUGCCCUGUUUCCCAGUGGGAAUGGGCUGAACAUUAAUGGGAUGGAAGCCACAACCUUCUCCAAGGGGGACCUACUACUCCAGGCUCUGAAUGGCUUUGUGCUGGUGGUCACAGCUGAAGGACAUGUGUUCUAUGCCUCUCCUACUAUCCAAGACUACCUGGGCUUCCAUCAGUCAGACGUGGUUCACCAGAGUGUGUUUGAGCUGAUCCACACAGACGACAGAGCCACGUUCAGACGACAGCUUCACUUUGCCCUCAACCCCAAGCCCUUUGACCCAGAGCAGGGAGGAGACGGCAUGGCAAGCAGCAGUGACAUCACCAGGAACAUUGUGAACUAUAACCCUGAGCAGCUCCCCCCAGAGAACUCCUCCUUCCUGGAGAGGAACUUUGUGUGUCGCUUCCGCUGCCUCCUGGACAACUCCUCUGGCUUCCUGGCUCUGAACUUCCAGGGGCGUCUCAAGUUCCUCCAUGCCCAGAGCAUGCUGGGGGAUGACGGGACACGCAGCCAGCCCAACCUGGGCCUGUUCACCAUCGCCACCCCUGUCCAAAACCCGUCCAUUUUGGAGAUCAGAACUAAGACAAUCUUCUUCCAGACCAAACACAAGCUCGACUUCACCCCCAUGGGUGUUGAUGCCAGGGGGAAGGUUGUCCUGGGCUACUCAGAGAUAGAGUUGUGUAUGAGAGGCUCUGGUUAUCAGUUCAUCCAUGCAGCUGAUAUGAUGUACUGCGCAGACAACCAUGUCAGAAUGAUUAAGACAGGAGAGAGUGGUCUGACCACGUUCAGACUGCUUCAGAAGACUGGGUGCUGGGUCUGGGUCCAGGCCAAUGCCAGGCUCGUCUACAAAGGAGGAAGACCUGACUUCAUCAUCGCACGCCAGAGAGCUUUGCUUAAUUCCGAGGGAGAGGAGCAUUUACACCAGAGGAAGAUGCAGCUGCCCUUCAGCUUCACCACCGGGGAGGCCCUGCUGUACGAGACCGGCCCCACUCUGGAUGCCACUGAGUUCCAAACCAACUCCCCAAAAAUCCGCAAGGUGGAGUCUCUGGACCCCCAGUCUCUGCUGGGCUCCUUACUGAAGCAAGAUGAGUCCGUCUACACCCAGCCCCAGGAGCCUCAGCUACCCAUAGACCAGGCAUUCAUGGACAGCCGAGCGCUCACCAAUGUGGCCUGUAACUCCUGGCAGAGUAGCAUGGAGCCCCAGGGGCCCGACGGGGAUGAUGAUGGUGACUGCCCCAGUGAGGUGAAGCAGAAGGGGGCGGUGGUGGCCAUGAUAGACGCCCUGGAGAAGAUGGCACGAGAUGGGGACCUGUGUGAGGCGCUGCAGGGGCUGGACGUGGACACGGCCGAGCUGAUGGAGUGGGAGAGUGCCCUCCUCAGGCUGAGCCAGGGAUCCAACGGGACUGGGGGUGGGGAUACCUCCCCGGAGCUGGAUGACAUCAUGACCAAUGACAUCUUCUCUUACGUGGAGGAAGCCUUGUUCAAGGAGAGCAGCGAGGGGAGCGGUAACCAGCCCAACUGCUCCAUUAUGGUCAACAACAACCCUAACCUAAACCUGUUCACAGAGGUGUUUAACAACAACAACCAGGAUGGACCAUUCACAGGAAUGGUCAGCCCUACAGGUGUAGGACAGUGCAAGCCCGGGUUGCUUGACAGCCGCAGCUUUAUCCAUAAUGGCUCCCCAGUGAACAGUCUAAAUGGUCAGGUAACAGGCAAUGGACCAGAUGGUUUGGCAGGACAGAACCAGGCAGGACCACACCAGGUGUUCAACAGCACCCAGAGGCUCUCCCACUUUGGCCCCCAGAUCCCUCAGAUGGACCUGAACAUCCCCACCCUGCAGCAGCUACAGCUCAAUGACAUCUUCGCCCCCUCUCUGGAGCUCCCCGAGCUCAGUAUCCCACACAGCUCAGGCCAGAACGGGGCUGUUACGUUUUGCACCAACAUGGCUGGAUCCUGUGCUCAGGCACCAAACAACCACAUGGGAAGCCCUCAGGGUAUCACUGGCAAGGUCCACUCUAACCAGCCACCUCCACAGUUUUUCACUCAUAAUGGCUUGCCAGCUACAAUGGCACCAAACGGACCACAACAGAUCUCUGUUCCGCAGUCCAACCAUGUAGCACCUAGUCUGGUGGAUGGCUGGGCAUCCAUGAUUCCCAGUAAUACCUUUGUUUCACCCCAGAUUGAAUCUAGCAAUCUCAAUCUAUCUAAUCCCCUUCCGACUGCUUGCCUUCAGGGAAACAGUGCACCAUUUCAGUCACUCAAAAUCCAGAGAGUUCAGCAGUGGCCCCAGAACCAGCAGCAGCUGCCACCCCCAACCAGCACAAUACAGAAUGGAAUAAUGGCAAAUGGACACACAUUCAUCCCUGACUGUCACAGUCAAGACACAGAGACGCAAAGAGUCCCUCACAGGCCUUUGGCCACAGAACCCCAACAGACUGUACCACCAAACACAGCAUGGGGGAUCGGCCAAUGGCCAGCCUGCUCCAUCCAGUAGCUGCAUGUUUGAGAACAUCUCACCCCCCUUACCUAAUGGAAACAGCCACAUGGAUGGCACCAGGCUGGCCCCCACGUUGUCUGUAUGCCAGAGUAGGAUUGUGGACCCCCAGGACCAGAGUCCUCCACAGGGCUCUUGCUACUUUCAGUGGGGCCCCAGUGAUCCGGUGGUGGGCACGUCAGCCGUCAUCCAGGAUAGUGCCAGCACCAGCCCCCCCGUCUCGCCCGCUGGUGGCCAACAUAACCACCCCUGAGGGCCUACUGGCCAUGCAGCAGUACCUGGCUGGAUGCAGCGGAGUCGGACAGACACAGAUUCCAAGCCUCCCUGUCAUAGACAGCAAUGGAAUAUUCUCUUUACCACCCCUUGUAAAUGGAUCCAUGUGCUUUACAGAGCACAACCAAAUCAACUAUUGCAACUUCUAAACAUGCGUCACAUUGCCUUACGAGGUACAAGUGGCGGACAGAGAGAGGAGGAAGCCAUCCAUGAAUCUAUUCAUCCUUCCAUGAAUCUAUUCAUCCUUCCGUGAAUCUAUUCAUCCUUCCAUGAAUCUAUUCAUCCUUCCAUCUGUACGCUUUCAUAGACAACCCUCUGCCUUAAGAGAUGUCUCAGUGAGGGUGUUGUGAAGACAAGCCAUCCGCUCAUCAUGUGUGGUCAAACACAUCAUCCCAUCUCCCCAUAUCAGUGUUUGCAGUAAAUACAAGGACUCCUUUAAUUACCCCUUGUCACUUCUGUCAGCAAUGGAACAAAAAGCGCAACUUCAAAUUGAACUGGUUUUCUUUGUGUUUUUGCAUUGUCUUUUGUUUUGCCGAUGCCGUGCCUUUGUUUUUAUUACCGUGUAACAACAAUUUCUGUCACAACUUGUUUGUUUAAUUGCCUUCAAUGAUAUGAAUGAAGUAUGAAUCCUCACUAGUGCAUUUGGCUGCCGUUAUAAUGGCUGGCGCUACAUGGCUUUUUAAGGUCAUGACCAACUCCCAAAGUGAGAUUCUCAUGAAGCAAGCCGUAUUCAUUUUUUUUCUCCAAACGUUUGUUUCCUGUGCACUUACAUUAUAGUCGGAUGGUGAUAGGACACCAUUCAAGUUUUCACUCAUGGGAAAACAAAACAAAAUACUAAUGUUGAACACAAAAAUAAAGUCACAAACAUUUUUGUAUGGAGUGUAAAUACAGAAAUUGAAUCUAUAUUCUUAUAUAAAGACAUUAUGUAAAACGAUGUGAGUGCACUUGUGUUUAUGACUGUGAUGACUAUGACUAUGUUUACAGCGUGUGUGUGCAAAGGCGUUCGUGUGUGUUUGUGUUCUCUUGUUCUGGAGAGUGAAUGAAGCAGUGUACAAAUGUCCCGUGGAACUCAGUUGGUAGAGCAUGGCACUUGCAACGCCAGGGUUGUGGGUUUGAUUCCCAAGGGGGACCAGUAUGAAAAUGUAUGGACUCAAUACUGUAAGUCGCUCUGGACAAGAGAAUCUGCUAAAUUGCUCAAAUGUAAAUGUACUAAUAGACUUUCUGAGGAAAAGAUGAUGUAUUUCAUUGAAAUGUCUGCAUUGGUUGCAGAGUAGGCAGUAUGACUAACCAUGCAAGGCAUGUGCUUUCAGAUGAUACCCCUUGUAAUGCUAUUGGUAUCCAAAUGUCAUUACAGUUUGACAAUACUCUGAUGCAGUAUGUCGAUAAUGUUAUAUCAAUAGUAGUAAACCCUUUGUUUGUUUUUCUUGGCUUUUGUUUCAUUUUGGUAUUAUCUAAACUUCACUAAGCCAUACGCUAACUUCUUAUGGUCAUAAUACAAACUGUGGAGGAAUGCGGGCCCUAAUGCUGCAUCUAUAAGAGACGCAGAAGUCCUAUAAGGGCUAGUAUAGUAACCAGAGUUACUACAGAAAUUGGACUAGAAGUCGAACUUCCCACGAGGCUGCCAUGAUGACUCCGCAUAUUCAACAAAUGGAACUCCAUGUCAGUCAAUAGUUGACAGAAAGAUGGCAGAUCCUCCCAAUUUAAAUGUCCCCUGACACUCAAGGCUCCCGUCAUCACUCAUCUCUUGUCUCCCUCAGAGGGCUCUGAGACUAAAUCAAUAUGGCCACCCACCUUUCAAUUCCUUUGACCUACUUCCUCAUUCUGCUCAUAUGACAGGGCAAGAUAGAUGAGAGGAAUAUGGAGGAAACUAAACCUGGCCAACUAGAGGGCCUCUCCUGCCAAACUGCUCUCACCAUUUCAGCUCGCUCAGCUCAGUAAGGCAGAGGAAAGUACAUAUAGUAAAGGGAGCUAUUCUAUGUAUUGGGUAUAUUCACAUUUAGCUUUGGCUUUUAAAAUUGUAUUUAGUAAUUGCUCUUGUUGCUUUAACCAGCUGAUAUACAAGCUUUCAAAGUGCCUGCCUUGAAAUGUUGAUAAAGUUUCUCGUAUCAAAGCUUAUAUAAAAGAAAGGGAAGGGCAUGCUAUACAGUAUACUGUAUAUUAGCCCUGAGCCAUGUAGCUAUUCUUUAAGCGCACUCUUCAACAGUCUUCAACAUCAGGUAGUUGCAGAGUUCAGCAUCAAUAUAUUAUGAAUAUUUACAUUUUUGCAUUUGUUGGUUGUAUGUUUGUUUAUUUGUAUGUUUUGUUAUUAUGUCUAGUGGCCUUACAACAUCAGUUAGACAGGUAUUCUCUUUGUAAGCCUUUAUUUCCACAGAAAUAUAUAAUUUAGUGUAGUUCACUUGUAUUUAACCAAGUAUAGUGUAUGCAAUGUAUUGAUAAUUACCAACUUACUUGUUACCAUUUGUUUCUUAAUUGUACAAUUCAAUUUCAUAUUAAAAAUACUCCUAAUAACUUA